UACGUAGGGUGCGAGCGUUAAUCGGAAUUACUGGGCGUAAAGCGUGCGCAGGCGGUUCGUUAUGUCCGUUGUGAAAGCCCCGGGCUCAACCUGGGAAUGGCAAUGGAAACUGGCGAGCUAGAGUGUGGCAGAGGGGGGUGGAAUUCCGCGUGUAGCAGUGAAAUGCGUAGAGAUGCGGAGGAACACCGAUGGCGAAGGCAGCCCCCUGGGCCAACACUGACGCUCAGGCACGAAAGCGUGGGGAGCAAACAGG
rnacentral:rRNA from 1 species